GACGAACGCUGGCGGCGUGCCUAAUACAUGCAAGUUGAGCGCUGAAGGUUGGUACUUGUACCAACUGGAUGAGCAGCGAACGGGUGAGUAACGCGUGGGGAAUCUGCCUUUGAGCGGGGGACAACAUUUGGAAACGAAUGCUAAUACCGCAUAAAAACUUUAAACACAAGUUUUAAGUUUGAAAGAUGCAAUUGCAUCACUCAAAGAUGAUCCCGCGUUGUAUUAGCUAGUUGGUGAGGUAAAGGCUCACCAAGGCGAUGAUACAUAGCCGACCUGAGAGGGUGAUCGGCCACAUUGGGACUGAGACACGGCCCAAACGCCUACGGGAGGCAGCAGUAGGGAAUCUUCGGCAAUGGACGAAAGUCUGACCGAGAAACGCCGCGUGAGUGAAGAAGGUUUUCGGAUCGUAAAACUCUGUUGGUAGAGAAGAACGUUGGUGAGAGUGGAAAGCUCAUCAAGUGACGGUAACUACCCAGAAAGGGACGGCUAACUACGUG
rnacentral:rRNA from 1 species